rnacentral:rRNA from 1 species
UACGUAGGGGGCAAGCGUUGUCCGGAUUCAUUGGGCGUAAAGAGCGUGUAGGCGGCCAGGUAGGUCGGUUGUGAAAACUGGAGGCUCAACCUUCAGAGGUCGACCGAAACCAUCUGGCUAGAGUCCGGGAGAGGAGAGUUGAAUUCCUGGUGUAGCGGUGAAAUGCGCAGAUAUCAGGAAGAACACCCGUGGCGAAAGCGGCUCUCUGGAACGGUACUGACGCUGAGACGCGAAAGCGUGGGGAGCAAACAGG